UUGUAUUCUAUCAAUCUUGGGUAAUAAGUAAAUACGUUCGACUUUUCUUGAAUAUUUAAUGUAAGGAAACCAAGAUAAAGCGGAGCAAAACGUUUGAACGGUGCGCUGAAUGCAAUAAAAGUCAGGACACGAAAACAGUGCGAUGUUUUAAACCACCUAGUUGCGAAUUAAGACGGCAGCGAUGGGAAGAAAGCUGUGGUGUUGUACUACGUGAUUCAUCUCGCGUUUGUGAAAACCACUUCAAGAAAGUGAUUUCAUUAGUUAUCCGUCCGAAUCAAGCACUUUCAAACGAGCUCGUUCAUACCCAGGCGCAGUCCCAAUGCAAUACGAAAUAACUGAUACAAGUGUGGAUUUAGUACGCGAUCAGGAUACAUUCUUUGUUGAUGUCCAAACUCAAACAGGCGACUCUUUAGAAUGCGCGUUGAGAACAGAAAUAUUUCCUCUUACCGAAAUAAUUAAAACCAUGCAAGCAAGUAUGGAAGAGCUUAAUUUAAAGCUGCUCGAAGCAAAGUCUUUAAUGUAAAACUAUUUCGCAUGAAAAAAAUUUAAUUUCAAAAUUGUUAGAGUUAAGCUCACAUAUAAAAUUGGAAACA